GGAACAUAAUUACCGGUGUGAUACCUUGGAAGCUGGUGUAUGCAUAAAGUUAGACCUACUGGAAAUUGCUGAUACACGCAUGUAGAAAUGAAAAUUUUCUAUCAGCCGUAUAGCCGUAUUCACUAUCCCGAAUUUGUAGAUCGUCAAUCAAAAGGAAAACACAGAUUUCUAGCACUCGGAAGAAAGCGAAAAACAUAAACAAUCCUUAACAUUACUGUCCAUGUAUAUUUAGAUAACUUUAAAAAAAAAAAUAUCUAUAAAAAGCUUUACACUACAGUCAGAUUCCGGUAAUAUUUACAAGACUGUGACGUCACAGUCGCGUAAGCCGUCUGACGUAUGCAAGACAGCGAAUGUGAAAGUACAUAGAAACUCUACAGACUGAUGAGAAUUACUUUAGACGGGGUACGUCAACGAAUAGGCACGACAGCGAAAAUACGGAAGUCACUUCGGGGACGUGUCGCAGAAUCGCAUAACUCUACACGAGAUUAAAAGAAAGAAAAAAAAAGACAAUGAAGACAACCAUGUAAAAACAAAUUCAAUCAAUUAAAUUAUCAGCAGAUUGAAA